ACGUUCAUGUCUGUUUUCAGACU
rnacentral:miRNA from 10 species